GAUGGAAGAAAAAUCAGCUGCUGCUUUAACCUGCUUUCUGUUUUCAGCUCAGACUCUCGGUGCUGCCACCUGCUGGACUGGCUGAACACCUGAGUCUCUAGACCUGGUCCAGGACCAUCACACUGUAAACCACAAUCCUGUUCAUUGGUCAGGUCUGAUCUGGACUGUGGUGUCUCAGCUGUACUCUGACGGUCCUGGAUCAGGUCUGCUCUGGACUGUGGUGUCUCAGCUGGACACUGACGGUCCUGGAUCAGGUCUGAUCUGGACUGUGGUGUCUCAGCUGGACACUGACAGUCCUGGAUCAGGUCUGAUCUGGACUCUGGUGUCUCAGCUGGACACUGACGGUCCUGGAUCAGGUCUGAUCUGGACUGUGGUGUCUCAGCUGGACCUGAGCUCUGCUUCACCUGCUGCUUCACUGUGUGAAUCACUGUUUUCCUCAGUGGUUCUGGUCUCUAAUCGAAUCUGAUCCAGUUUGAUUGAUUCUGUAUUUUUCUGCUGUAACAACAAUAAACAUCAGAAACUCUGAGA